AAGAUCCAAACGCAACAAACAAAAACAAACAAAACCUGCUGUACCUGAACAUUCAAUUUAUAGAAGCACAGCUCAUGGUAGAAAAUCCUCACUUAAAGAAUCCCAGUGGGACUUCCAGACCUGUUUGGAGAAGGAGCAAAAAAGGAAAAAGAAGAGAGCAAAGGGAUCACCAUGUGGGUCUACAGCACACGGGACCCAAGGAGGAAGCCUCUGAGGAGCUGUGUCACCGCCUUGGAGAACUCACUCCUGGGUGCUGAAUGGCAGCGCCCAGGACAACUGUGACUUCGUCCAGCUGGCGUCUGCAGCCCCGUCAAGCUCUUCCAGCCAUGACCUUGACAGAUCCUCCUAACAGCCUCAGGUGGUGAGCAGGGAAGAGUUAGCGUCCACGUUUGAGCAAAAGAGAAACCAGACUCAGAGGAAGGUUGCACAACAGAACUGGGACCAGGUUUUCUGCCUGUGCUCCUUCCUCUGUACACGAUACAUCUUCUUUUCUGACCACCUAAUCAUGGAGGCCCCCUUGCCCUACAUCCUGGUUUGCAAGCAGGUUUUAUUUUGAGUUAAUAGGAAAGAGUAUAUGACUGAUUAUUAAUGUCUGCCAUGAGUAAAGGCAAGCACAAUACCAGAGUUGAAAUAUAUUUACUUCCUCAGAUCCUAAUAAACCUUUCUUCUCAAACAAAACAGUUUUGAAAUUACCUCCUUCUUCCUGUCUCCAGCUCAGUAAAAUUUUCUGACCUAAUGGCCAGGGCUUAGAAAAUUUUACCAUAAUGCUACCUGGGAAGGAAGGGUUUGAUAAACAAUUUAACGCUGACUUCAAGAUUGCAAGGGGGGUGUUUAAUUUGUUCAAGAG